CUCCUGGGGCCCGCACUC
rnacentral:miRNA from 2 species